GCCUAAAGCGUCCGUAGCCGGCUCUGUAAGUUUUCGGUUAAAUCCAUAUGCUCAACAUAUGGGCCGCCGGAAAUACUGUAAAGCUAGGGAGUGGGAGAGGUAGACGGUACUCCGUAGGAAGGGGUAAAAUCCUUUGAUCUAUGGAUGACCACCUGUGGCGAAGGCGGUCUACCAGAACACGUCCGACGGUGAGGGAUGAAAGCUGGGGGAGCAAACCGGAUUAGAUACCCGGGUAGUCCCAGCUGUAAACUAUGCAAACUCAGUGAUGCAUUGGCUUGUGGCCAGUGCAGUGCCGCAGAGAAGUCGUUAAGUUUGCCGCCUGGGAAGUACGUACGCAAGUAUGAAACUUAAAGGAAUUGGCGGGGGAGCACCACAAGGGGUGAAGCCUGCGGUUCAAUUGGAGUCAACGCCAGAAAUCUUACCCGGAGAGACAGCAGAAUGAAGGUCAAGCUGAAGACUUUACCAGACAAGCUGAGAAGUGGUGCAUGGCCGUCGCCAGCUCGUGCCGUGAGGUGUCCUGUUAAGUCAGGUAACGAGCGAGAUCCCUGCCUCUAGUUGCCACCAUUACUCUCAGGAGUAGUGGGGCGAAUUAGCGGGACUGCCGCAGUUAAUGCGGAGGAAGGAGGGGGCCACGGCAGGUCAGUAUGCCCCGAA
rnacentral:rRNA from 1 species